UAAAGAAAGUCCUCUUAGUUCUGAUGCCAUCUUCAGACAGGAUUGUGAGAGAGAUAUUGCAGAGGUCGGAGAUGAUGCUCUAUAUGAGGUUAAGUAUGAAAGCAGCAUCAAGUUGUACCGGGCUCUUGUUCACACAACACAAGACAACCAGAAGAAGUCCAGCGAGGAAUAACUAUGGUCGAAGGCCGCUCUUGAGGAAGGAGGACUUAUUCAACUUGUGAUAGUUAGACUGAGCCAACUUCAGAUCAUGGACAUGCUUUAUAUUCGCUCACUUGGACACUACAUAAGUCGUCACUUUAUAAAGAGCUUGAACGGCGUGGGUCAUUGUUUGGAGGAUGCACCAGACUUCUGGCAAGGUCGGUACCUGAGGCAAACUAUAUUAAAUAGGACGGAAACAGACGAGUUACUUGGCGCAUUCAUUUUUUAUGCUGCUAGUGCAGUUGUGCCGGCUAUUAUGAAAGUAAGAUCGCUUCGUAAAAGAUGAUAUGGCUCAAAAUCAUUCAGUGGAAUUUAAGAAAUGAUACAGUUCAUGACCACAUUAUGUUUUUUUUCAUGCAUGACAAACUCCCCACUCUAAUCCCCUAGGUCAUCCAUUAAACAUUUGUGAUUAUUUUUCUUUGCCAACUUUGAUGGAAAUUGUGUGAAAGGUUUUGUGAACAAAACUCCCCUUUAUUAA